CCUACGGGAGGCAGCAGUGAGGAAUAUUGGUCAAUGGCCGAGAGGCUGAACCAGCCAAGUCGCGUGAGGGAUGACGGCCCUACGGGUUGUAAACCUCUUUUGUCGGGGAGCAAGACCCGCCACGAGUGGCGGAGCGAGAGUACCCGAAGAAAAAGCAUCGGCUAACCCCGUGCCAGCAGCCGCGGUAAUACGGAGGAUGUGAGCGUUAUCCGGAUUUAUUGGGUUUAAAGGGGGCGCAGGCGGACCA
rnacentral:rRNA from 1 species